GAUGAACGCUGGCGGCGUGCCUAAUACAUGCAAGUCGAGCGAACGGACGAGAAGCUUGCUUUUCUGAUGUUAGCGGCGGACGGGUGAGUAACACGUGGAUAACCUACCUAUAAGACUGGGAUAACUUCGGGAAACCGGAGCUAAUACCGGAUAAUAUUUUGAACCGCAUGGUUCAAAAGUGAAAGACGGUCUUGCUGUCACUUAUAGAUGAAUCCGCGCUGCAUUAGCUAGUUGGUAAGGUAACGGCUUACCAAGGCAACGAUGCAUAGCCGACCUGAGAGGGUGAUCGGCCACACUGGAACUGAGACACGGUCCAGACUCCUACGGGAGGCAGCAGUAGGGAAUCUUCCGCAAUGGGCGAAAGCCUGACGGAGCAACGCCGCGUGAGUGAUGAAGGUCUUCGGAUCGUAAAGCUCUGUUAUUAGGGAAGAACAUAUGUGUAAGUAACUGUGCACAUCUUGACGGUACCUAAACAGAAAGCAACGGCUAACUACGUG
rnacentral:rRNA from 1 species